rnacentral:rRNA from 1 species
CCUACGGGAGGCAGCAGUGGGGAAUAUUGGGCAAUGGGCGCAAGCCUGACCCAGCAACGCCGCGUGAAGGAAGAAGGCUUUCGGGUUGUAAACUUCUUUUCUCAGGGACGAAGCAAGUGACGGUACCGGAGGAAUAAGCCACGGCUAACUACGUGCAAGCACCCGCGGUAAUACGUAGGUGGCAAGCGUUAUCCGGAUUUACUGGGUGUAAAGGGCGUGUAGGCGGGACUGCAAGUCAGAUGUGAAAUCAACGGGCUCAACCUGUGGACUGCAUUUGAAACUGGAGUUCUUGAGUACUGGAGAGGCAGACGGAAUGCGUAGUGUAGCGGUGAAAUGCGUAGAUAUUAGGAGGAACACCAGUGGCGAAGGCGGUCUGCUGGACAGCAACUGACGCUGAGGCGCGAAAGCGUGGGGAGCAAACAGGAUUAGAUACCCCAGUAGUC